rnacentral:ribozyme from 13 species
AAGAGAGAAAGACAAAGAGAGAGAAAGAGAAAAACAGAAAGAAAGAAAAAAAGCUUUUGUAAACACUUUUAUUCUUUCUUUAUCUCUAUCUCUUUCUUUCUUUCUCUUUUGCAAUAACAACAACUAAUAUGAAUAUUGUAA